rnacentral:snoRNA from 1 species
UACCAUGUUUCCCAGGACUUUGGCUGAGUUAUGAUCAUGGGAUCUCCAACUACAUCGCACAGUAACAUGGAGACACUCCGACAGCUCAGGUCAGCAUAGUGCCUGCAGCUGGUACUCAUCUUAGAGAG